UGGAUGGCUUGGCUCAAGCGCUGAUGAGGGACGUGCCAAGCUGCGAUAAGCCUCGGCGAACUGCAUGGACGUGUUGAACCGAGGAUUUCCUAAUAAGACCUCUUACUGUUUUAGCAACAGUGACCACGUGCCUUAAUAUGGUGUGUGGUUGGGAACGCCCUGGAUUGAAACAUCUUAGUAGGGGCAGGAAAAGAAAUCAAUUGAGAUGCUGUAAGUAACGGCGAGUGAACACAGCACAGUUCAAACUGAAUCCACCCAGAAAUGGAAUGGAGAUGUGGUGUUGUAAGGAUUAAGCCUUUUGCAGUCUUCUCAGGUGAAGCUGAACUUGUCUGGAAUGACAGACCAUAGAGUGUGAUAGUCAUGUAAGUACAAGCCUGAAAGAUUGUGGUUUUGUCCUUGAGUACCGUGAGUUGGAAUUCUCGCGGGAAUCUGGGAGUCAUCAACUUCCAAAACUAAAUACGUCUUGAGACCGAUAGUGCAUUAGUACCGUGAGGGAAAGCUGAAAAGUGCCCUAAGAAGGGAGGUGCAAAGUGCCUGAAAUUGAAUGGUGAUAGAGCGAUGUAGCAUGAAAGGAUCUCUGCAAUGAAGGAAGCAGUCGCGAGGCUGUGGUACGAAUUGUGGUGCCGGUGUUACAUCUUACGUUUUGAAGAACGGGCCAGGGAGUGUAUUCGAGUGGCGAUGGCUAACCUCGUUAUGGGGGGAGCCUUAGCGAAAGCAACAUGCACACAACCCCUUUCAGGGGCGAGGUGCGACGUGUACAAGCGCGUGGAGUCACUAGAUUACGACCCGAAACCCAGCGAUCUAGGCGUGGGCAGGUUGAAGCGUGGCGAAAGCUACGUGGAGGACCGUUAGCGGUAUUGAUUUGCAAAUCAUUCGCGUGACCUGUGUCUAGGAGUGAAAUACUAAUCGAGCUGGGAAACAGCUGGUUCCUUCCUAAACAUGUCGCAGCAUGACCCUGCUGGAGAUCGUCAACAAGGUAGAGCACUGAUUGGAGAAGUUGGGGGGGAAACCCCCUACUCUCUUGUCAAACUCCGAACUUGUUGUCAUCGUAGAAGGCAGGCAGUCCGGGCUACUGGGGUAAGCUUGUAGUCCGUGAGGGAGAGAACCCAGACCAUGGUUAAGGUCCCCAAGUGUCGACUAAGUGUUAAUACUAAAGGGUGUCCUAAGCCCAAGACAACUGGAAGGUGAGCUUAGAAGCAGCUAUCCUUUAACGAGUGCGUAACAGCCCACCAGUCGAGGUUUAGGGCCCCGAAAAUGGACGGGGCUCAAGUCGACCACCGAUACCAUGGAGCACCGAGAGGUGAUCUGGUAGGAAGGCGUCUGGCAUGGACAGAAGCAGGGCUGUGAAGUCCUGUGGACCGUGUUGGAACGAAAAUCCUGGCAACAGUAGCAGCAUAGCUGGGUGAGAAUCCCAGCCGCCGAAGGGGCUAGGUUUCCUCGGCAAUGUUCGUCAGCCGAGGGUUAGUCGAUCCUAAGAUAUAUCGUAAUUCGAGUAUGUCAAAAGGGAAACAGGUUAAUAUUCCUGUACCAAUCUAACAAUUUGAAUGUUGACGCAUCCGGGUAGGCUGAGCAGUGUCAUCGCACUGUCCAAGCAUUCAAACUCUUGGAGUGCUGUAAUAGCGAGAAGAGAGUGAAGGUGUGAUGGAGAAAUUCAGCUAACCCCAGGUGCCCGUGAAAAGGCCGUUGGAUUGAUCGUACCGAGAACUGACACAGGUGCCCCUAGCUGAAAAGGCUAAGGCGUGUCGGGUUAUGCUGGCUAAGGGAAUUCGGCAAAUUAGCUCCGUAACUUCGGGAGAAGGAGUGCCUGCCAAGAAGUUGGCAGGUCGCAGUGACCAGAGAGCUCUAACUGUCUAAUAACAACAUAGCUGACUGCAAAUCCGAAAGGAUGAGUACAGUCAGUGAAUCCUGCCCAGUGCAGGUACCUGAAAGCUCGGUUCAACGGGAAGAAGGGCCUGUCAACGGCGGGGGUAACUAUGACCCUCUUAAGGUAGCGUAGUACCUUGUCGCUUAAUUGGCGACUCGCAUGAAUGGAUCAAUGAGAGCUCUACUGUCCCUAGCCAGAGCCCGGUGAAGUUUACAUCCCAGUGCAGAGUCUGGGGACCCCCAGGGGGAAGUGAAGACCCCGUGGAGCUUUACUGCAGCCUGCAGUUGGAUUGUGGUUUUGAUUGUGCAGAGUAGGUAGGAGACGUCGAAGCUUGCGCGCCAGCGUGAGUGGAGUCAACAAUGAGACACUACCCUUUCAAAAUUAUGAUCCUAACCCAAAUAUUGGGGACACCUGUAGGUGGGCAGUUUGGGUGGGGCGCCACGCCCUUGAAAAGAUAUCAAGGGCGCCCAAAGGUUGACUCAGGUGGGUCAGAAACCCACUAAAGAGUGCAAGAGCAUAAGUCAGCCUGACGUUAUCCCGCACAAUGAGGGAUGACGAGAGGAAACUCGGGUCUAGCGAACCACUAUGCCUUCUUGAUGAGGGCUAUUGAUGACAGAAAAGCUACCCCAGGGAUAACAGUGUCGUCACCGGCAAGAGCACAUAUCGACCCGGUGGCUUGCUACCUCGAUGUCGGUUCUUUCCAUCCUGGCUGUGCAGCAGCAGCCAAGGGUGAGGUUGUUCGCCUAUUAAAGGAGAUCGUGAGCUGGGUUUAGACCGUCGUGAGACAGGUCGGUUACUAUCUACUGGGGGUGUUUGUGGUCUGAGGGUAAGCUGCUUAUAGUACGAGAGGAACUGAGCAGCGGCGCCACUGGUCGAUCGGUUGUCUGACAAGGCACUGCCGAGCAGCUACGCGCUACAGAGAUAAGGGCUGAAAGCAUCUAAGCCCGAAACUCCACCCAAAAAGAGACCAUAUUAGGACACUCAUAAAAGAUGAGUUUGAUAG
rnacentral:rRNA from 1 species